CGAGCCGACCGGGUGAUCGCGGUGCUGAUGACGUGUCGUCAGUGUCGAGGAAAGUCCGGGCUCCACAUGGCAGGGUGGUGGGUAACACCCACCCGGGGCAACCCGCGGGACAGUGCCACAGAAAACAAACCGCCGACCGAGAGGUCGGUAAGGGUGAAACGGUGGUGUAAGAGACCACCAGCGACGCAGGUGACUGCGGUGGCUAGGCAAACCCCACCCGGAGCUAGACCAAGUGGACCCGCAAGGGUCCAAGCAGGAGAGUCGCCCGCUCGGUCUUCGGACCCAUCCUGCUGGUAGGUCGCACGAGGCCAUCGGCAACGGUGGUCCCAGAUGGAUGAUCACCCCUCGCGCAAGCGAGGACAGAACCCGGCUUAUAGGUCGACUCGUCCG
rnacentral:RNase_P_RNA from 1 species